rnacentral:rRNA from 1 species
AUUGAACGCUGGCGGCAGGCUUAACACAUGCAAGUCGAACGGUAACAGGAGAAAGCUUGCUUUCUUGCUGACGAGUGGCGGACGGGUGAGUAAUGCUUGGGAAUCUGGCUUAUGGAGGGGGAUAACGACGGGAAACUGUCGCUAAUACCGCGUAGAGUCGAGAGACGAAAGUGCGGGACCGCAAGGCCGCAUGCCAUAGGAUGAGCCCAAGUGGGAUUAGGUAGUUGGUGGGGUAAAGGCCUACCAAGCCGACGAUCUCUAGCUGGUCUGAGAGGAUGACCAGCCACACCGGGACUGAGACACGGCCCGGACUCCUACGGGAGGCAGCAGUGGGGAAUAUUGCGCAAUGGGGGCAACCCUGACGCAGCCAUGCCGCGUGAAUGAAGAAGGCCUUCGGGUUGUAAAGUUCUUUCGGUAUUGAGGAAGGUUGUUGUGUUAAUAGCACGACAAAUUGACGUUAAAUACAGAAGAAGCACCGGCUAACUCCGUGCCAGCAGCCGCGGUAAUACGGAGGGUGCGAGCGUUAAUCGGAAUAACUGGGCGUAAAGGGCACGCAGGCGGACUUUUAAGUGAGGUGUGAAAUCCCCGGGCUUAACCUGGGAAUUGCAUUUCAGACUGGGAGUCUAGAGUACUUUAGGGAGGGGUAGAAUUCCACGUGUAGCGGUGAAAUGCGUAGAGAUGUGGAGGAAUACCGAAGGCGAAGGCAGCCCCUUGGGAAUGUACUGACGCUCAUGUGCGAAAAGCGUGGGGGAGCAAACAAG